UAAAUCGCUCAGGCUCGGCGCGGGGCGGGGCGUGCCCUGGGAGUCAUUCUCUCAUGUUCUUGCACCAUCUCUAUCGCCAGAUCUCCGCAUUCCUAGUCUGACCUCUCUCUCUGCUUUCCUCAACCUCCAUCUCUGCCUCCCUCGACCUCCAUCUCUGCCUCCCUCGACCUCACUCACUCUCCACCCCAUCUCUCCCUCUCUCUCUCCCUCUGUGUCGCUCUGUGUCUCACGCUGUCCUGGUUUCGCUCACUCUUCUGGUCUUUUCCUCUCCAGAUAUUGGUGGGGGAGGUUUGACGAUGUGGGGGUCUUUUUUG
rnacentral:lncRNA from 1 species